GCAGUGAUGGUUCAGUGGUAGAAUUUUCUCCUUCCAUGCAAGAGACCAGGGUUCAAUUCCCAGCCAAUGCA
rnacentral:tRNA from 1 species